GUUACACAGCGGGUGAGGUGAGGGCUGACUGCAGCAGAUGUGCUUGGGAAGCUUUCUUGCCUUCACCCUCUGUCUUGUUUCUGACCCUUGGCUCAGAGUGUCUCGGGUAGGUUUGACUGUUACUGGGUGACACUUGCACCUGCUCCUGUCACGUAGCCUUUAGUUUUUGUUUAUAAUAGACUUCCUCCCUCCCUCCCUCUCUCCCUUCCUUCCUGUGGUGCUGGGGAUGAAACCCAGGGCCUUGCACAUGCUAGGCAGGCCCCUUGCCAUUGAGCUGUGCCCCAGCCUGUGAUUUGAUUCUUAGAACAGUUUUAGGGGCAGCUUUCCCUCCACCCACUGCCCUAGCAUGCACCCCCCAUCAGCAUGCCCCCCACCCCUGAGUGGUGCAUUUGUUGCAGUCGAUGAGUGUGCAUUACACAUCUUUGUCAGGGUAAAGUCCCUAGUUCAUGUCAGUGCCUACUUUUGGUGUUGUACAGUCUGUGAUUUUAGACAAAUGCAUGAUGACAUGUGUCUGCAAUGUAGUGUUGUGCAGAAUAGUUUCACUGCCCUGAAAUUCCUCUGUUAUCUUCUGAUUUCCUUCCUCACCCCAUAAUCCUGGCUGAAUUUUUUUUUCAUCUUUUAAAGUGACCUGAAGAACUUAUUCUGUUAAUGUUCCUCUCCUGUGCUGAACUUUUAUCAUAAGAUAGUUCAGAGAAUUCCUCCUUACCUAGGGACUGCUGGUACCCUCCCUCUAUUUCUUUCCUUCUUCUCCUUUCCCAAAUAAUGGCC
rnacentral:lncRNA from 1 species